GUCUACGGCCAUGCUACCCUGAACACGCCCAAUCCCGUCUGAUCUCGAACGCUAAGCAGGAUCGGGCCUGAUUAGUACUUGGAUGGGAGACCACCUAGGAAGACCAGGUGCUGUAGGCG
rnacentral:rRNA from 1 species